AAUAAGUGCAGCCAUGAGUUUUCGUGCCUAACUUUAAUUGUUCAUUUUAUUUGAAAUUUUUUUACGAUUAAUAUUUUUAUUGUUAUUAGAUUAUAAAACAUGAAUAGUACUUUAUAUGUGACUUAUUUUUUUAGUUUUUUUAAAAAAGUUUAAAUAAGACGAACGAUUAAAGUUGGACACGGAAACUAUUGGCUACACUUAUU
rfam:Oryza meridionalis cultivar OR44 (W2112) chromosome 8, whole genome shotgun sequence.